GCCGGUGUGAUGGAAUGGUAGACAUGCGUGACUCAAAAUCACGUUUCAGCAAUGGAGUGUCGGUUCGAGCCCGACCACCGGUACCA
rnacentral:tRNA from 1 species